AGUGAACGCUGGCGGUAGGCCUAACACAUGCAAGUCGAACGGCAGCACAGUAAGAGCUUGCUCUUACGGGUGGCGAGUGGCGGACGGGUGAGGAAUACAUCGGAAUCUACUUUUUCGUGGGGGAUAACGUAGGGAAACUUACUCUAAUACCGCAUACGACCUACGGGUGAAAGCAGGGGAUCUUCUGACCUGUCGCGAUUGAAUGAGCCGAUGUCGGAUUAGCUAGUUGGCGGGGUAAAGGCCCAGCAAGUCGACGAUCCGUAGCCGGUCUGAGAGGAUGGUAAGCCACACUGGAAGUGAGACACGGUCCAGACUCCUACGGGAGGCAGCAGUGGGGAAUAUUGGACAACGGGCGCGAGCAUGACACAGCCAUACCGCGUGGGUGGAGAAGGCGUUCGGGUUGUGAAGCCCUUUUGUUGGGAGAGAAAAGCAGCAGGUUAAUACCCCGCUGUUCUGACGGUAACCAGAGAAUAAGCACCGGCUAACUUCGUG
rnacentral:rRNA from 1 species